GACGAACGCUGGCGGCGUGCUUAACACAUGCAAGUCGAACGGAGUGGCGAACGGGUGAGUAACACGUGGGUGACCUGCCCUGCACUUCGGGAUAAGCCUGGGAAACUGGGUCUAAUACCGGAUAGUGUGGGAUGGGCCCUCGGCCUAUCGGCUUGUUGGUGGGGUAAUGGCCUACCAAGGCGGCGACGGGUAGCCGGCCUGAGAGGGUGGACGGCCACAGUGGGCCUGAGACAUGUCCCAGACGGCUACGGGCGGCAGCAGUGGUGAAUAUUGCGCACUGGGCGGAAGCCUGAUGCAGCGACGCCGCGUGGGGGAUGACGGCCUUCUGGUUGCAAACUCCUUUCUGCAUCGACGCGGUAGAUGGAGAAGAAGCACCGGCUAACUACGUGCCAGCAGCCGCGGUAAUAC
rnacentral:rRNA from 1 species